GACGAACGCUGGCGGCGCGCCUAACACAUGCAAGUCGAGCGAUGAAAUUUUAACCGUUCUCUUCGGAGAGAAGAUAAAAUGGAUUAGCGGCGGACGGGUGAGUAACACGUGAGAAACCUGCCUUUCACAAGGGGAUAGCCUCGGGAAACCGGGAUUAAUACCCUAUGACACAUUUCCUUCGCAUGGAAGAAAUGUUAAAACUCCGGUGGUGAAAGAUGGUCUCGCGCCUGAUUAGCUAGUUGGUGGGGUAACGGCCCACCAAGGCCAUGAUCAGUAACCGGCCUGAGAGGGAGAACGGUCACAUUGGAACUGGGGCACGGUCCAGACUCCUACGGGAGGCAGCAGUGGGGAAUAUUGAGCAAUGGAGGAAACGCUGAUGCAGCGUCGCCGCGGGAGCGAUGAAGGCUUUCGAGUCGUAAAGCUCUGUCCUAUGGGAAGAUAAUGACGGUACCAUAGGAGGAAGCCCCGGCUAACUACGUG
rnacentral:rRNA from 1 species